GAUGAACGCGUGGCGGCGUGCUUAACACAUGCAAGUCGAACGGGAAACAGUUUUAAUGAAGCUUCGGCAGAAUUAGCUUGUUUCUAGUGGCGGACGGGUGAGUAACGCGUGGGUAACCUGCCUCACACUGGGGGAUAACAGUCAGAAAUGACUGCUAAUACCGCAUAAGCGCACAGUGCUGCAUGGCACAGUGUGAAAAACUCCGGUGGUAUGAGAUGGACCCGCGUCUGAUUAGCUAGUUGGUGGGGUAACGGCCUACCAAGGCGACGAUCAGUAGCCGGCCUGAGAGGGUGAACGGCCACAUUGGGACUGAGACACGGCCCAA
rnacentral:rRNA from 1 species